rnacentral:rRNA from 1 species
UGGGGAAUAUUGGACAAUGGGCGAAAGCCUGAUCCAGCCAUGCCGCGUGAGUGAAGAAGGCCUUAGGGUUGUAAAGCUCUUUCAGCGGGGAAGAUAAUGACGGUACCCGCAGAAGAAGUCCCGGCUAACUUCGUGCCAGCAGCCGCGGUAAUACGAAGGGGACUAGCGUUGUUCGGAUUUACUGGGCGUAAAGCGCGCGUAGGCGGAUCGCUAAGUCAGGGGUGAAAUCCCAGGGCUCAACCCUGGAACUGCCUUUGAUACUGACGAUCUGGAGAUCGGGAGAGGUUGGUGGAAUUCCGAGUGUAGAGGUGAAAUUCGUAGAUAUUCGGAGGAACACCAGAAGCGAAGGCGGCCAACUGGCCCGAUACUGACGCUGAGGCGCGAAAGCGUGGGGAGCAAACAG